rnacentral:tRNA from 1 species
GGCAGUGGAGUUUAGUGGUUAAGGACCUGCUCAGACAUCACAGGUAGGUAGAUCUGGGUUCAAACCCUAGCCCUGGCA